rnacentral:rRNA from 1 species
CAAUAGCGUAUAUUAAAGCUGUUGCGGUUAAAAAGCUCGUAGUUGGAUUUCUGUCAAGGACAACUGGUCCGCCCUCCGGGUGAGCACAUAGUUUGGUCUUGGCAUCUUGCUGGAAACUGUUGCUGCGCUUGGUUGUGUGGUGCAGCUUUCAGCACUUUCGCUUUGAGGAAAUUGGAGUGUUUCAAGCAGGCACAUGCCUUUGGACACAGUAGCAUGGAAUAAUUAGAUUGGGCUUUUGCUCCAACUUGUUGGUUCCUGGAGCUGAGGUGAGAAUCAAUGGGGAUUGUUGGGGGCAUCCGAAUUUAGCCGUCAGAGGUGAAAUUCUUGGAUCUGCUAAAGACGGACAACUGCGAAAGCGUUUGCCCAGGAUGUUUUCAUUGA